GCCCAGAUGGUGGAAUUGGUAGACACGCUACUUUGAGGGGGUAGUGUCCGUAAGGAUGUGCAAGUUCGAGUCUUGUUCUGGGCA
rnacentral:tRNA from 1 species